AUUGAACGCUGGCGGCGUGCCUAACACAUGCAAGUCGAGCGGUAACAGGUGUAGCAAUACAUGCUGACGAGCGGCGGACGGGUGAGUAACGCUUGGGAAUCUGCCUAUUAGUGGGGGACAACCCGGGGAAACUCGGGCUAAUACCGCAUACGCUCUACGGAGGAAAGCCGGGGACCGCAAGGCCUGGCGCUAAUAGAUGAGCCCAAGUCGGAUUAGCUAGUUGGUAGGGAACGGCCUACCAAGGCUACGAUCCGUAACUGGUCUGAGAGGACGACCAGUCACACCGGAACUGAGACACGGUCCGGACUCCUACGGGAGGCAGCAGUGGGGAAUAUUGGACAAUGGGGGAACCCUGAUCCAGCGACGCCGCGUGGGUGAAGAAGGCCUGCGGGUUGUAAAGCCCUUUCAGUGGGGAAGAAAAGCCUCGACCUAACACGUCGGGGUCUUGACGUAACCCAUAGAAGAAGCACCGGCUAACUCUGU
rnacentral:rRNA from 1 species